rnacentral:rRNA from 1 species
GGGCCCGCACAAGCGGUGGAGUAUGUGGUUUAAUUCGAUGCAACGCGAAGAACCUUACCAGGGUUUGACAUCCUGCGAAUCUCUUGGAAACAGGAGAGUGCCUUCGGGAACGCAGUGACAGGUGGUGCAUGGCUGUCGUCAGCUCGUGUCGUGAGAUGUUGGGUUAAGUCCCGCAACGAGCGCAACCCACGUCUUUAGUUGCCAGCAUUUAGUUGGGCACUCUAGAGAGACUGCCGGUGAUAAACCGGAGGAAGGUGUGGAUGACGUCAAGUCAUCAUGCCCCUUACGUCCUGGGCCACACACGUGCUACAAUGGUAGAUACAGAGGGCAGCUACCCCGCAAGGUGGAG